AGUUCUGUAGUGUAGUGGUUAUCACAUCUGCUUUACAUGCAGAAGGUCCUGGGUUCAAUCCCCACUGGAACCA